GAUGAACGCUGGCGGCGUGCCUAAUACAUGCAAGUCGAGCGAACAGACGAGGAGCUUGCUCCUCUGAUGUUAGCGGCGGACGGGUGAGUAACACGUGGAUAACCUACCUAUAAGACUGGGAUAACUUCGGGAAACCGGAGCUAAUACCGGAUAAUAUGUUGAACCGCAUGGUUCAACAGUGAAAGACGGUUUUGCUGUCACUUAUAGAUGGAUCCGCGCCGCAUUAGCUAGUUGGUAAGGUAACGGCUUACCAAGGCAACGAUGCGUAGCCGACCUGAGAGGGUGAUCGGCCACACUGGAACUGAGACACGGUCCAGACUCCUACGGGAGGCAGCAGUAGGGAAUCUUCCGCAAUGGGCGAAAGCCUGACGGAGCAACGCCGCGUGAGUGAAGAAGGUCUUCGGAUCGUAAAACUCUGUUAUUAGGGAAGAACAAAUGUGUAAGUAACUAUGCACGUCUUGACGGUACCUAAUCAGAAAGCCACGGCUAACUACGUG
rnacentral:rRNA from 1 species